rnacentral:tRNA from 1 species
AGGGACAUAACUCAGUUGGUAGAGUAUCUGUCUGAUACACAGAAAGUCGAGGGUUCAAUUCCCUCUGUCCCUA